CCUACGGGGUGCAGCAGUGGGGAAUAUUGGGCAAUGGAGGCAACUCUGACCCAGCAACGCCGCGUGAGUGAUGAAGGUCUUCGGAUUGUAAAACUCUUUAAGUGGGGACGAAGAAAGUGACUGUACCCACAGAAUAAGCCUCGGCUAACUACAUGCCAGCAGCAGCGGCAAUACGUCGGAAGCAAGCGUUAUCCGGAAUGACUGGGCGUACAGGGUGCGUAGGGGGGUUGACAAGUUAGUAGCGUAAUGCCGGGGCUCAACUUCGGAACUACUACUAAAACUGUUGGGCUUGAGUGUAGGAGAGGUGAAUGGAAUUCCUAGUGUAGCGGUGGAAUGCGUAGAUAUUAGGAGGAACACCAGCGGCGAAAGCGAUUCACUGGACUGUAACUGACACUGAGGCACGAAAGCGUGGGGAGCAAACAGGAUUAGAUACCCGAGUAGUC
rnacentral:rRNA from 1 species